rnacentral:rRNA from 1 species
GUUAGCGGCGGACGGGUGAGUAACACGUGGUUAACCUGCCCUAAAGACCGGGAUAACAUCCUGAAAAGGAUGCUAAUACCGGGUGUGGUCUAGCUGUCGCAUGGCAGUUAGAAGAAAGGCGAAAGCCGCUUUAGGAUGGACCCGCGGCCCAUUAGCUAGUUGGUAGGGUAACGGCCUACCAAGGCGACGAUGGGUAGCCGACCUGAGAGGGUGACCGGCCACACUGGGACUGAGACACGGCCCAGACUCCUACGGGAGGCAGCAGUCGGGAAUAUUGGGCAAUGGGGGAAACCCUGACCCAGCAACGCCGCGUGAGUGAUGAAGGCCUUCGGGUCGUAAAGCUCUGUCCUUGGGGACGAAGAAUGACGGUACCCAAGAAGAAAGCCACGGCUAACUACGUGCCAGCAGCCGCGGUAAUACGUAGGUGGCAAGCGUUGUCCGGAAUUACUGGGCGUAAAGGGCGAGUAGGCGGUAAUACAAGUCAGAUGUGAAAGGCGAGGGCUCAACCCUCGGAUUGCAUUUGAAACUGUAUGACUUGAGUGCGGUAGAGGAAAGUGGAAUUCCCAGUGUAGCGGUGAAAUGCGUAGAUAUUGGGAGGAACACCAGUGGCGAAGGCGACUUUCUGGGCCGUAACUGACGCUGA